CUUCAGAUGGAGCUUGUUAGAAUGUCACAGAUUUGAUCUCUUUCGGGUUACGGCAUUAUUUAUUCAGAGCCACAUUACGCUUGUUUUGGCCGACGCAAUGGUACACCAGCAGCAUGAACCUUAUUGGAACUUGGCUGACUGACCGCAUGGACCUGCAGCUUCAUGUUUAUCAACUGAAGAUACUCAUCAGGAUUGUCAAAAAAAAGUACCGUGAUUUCCGUCUUCAAGGAGUGCUGGACUCGACGUUAAACUCUAAGAUGUAUGAGACCGUAAGAAAUCGGCUGACCUUAGAAGAAGCUACGGCUUCGGUGAGGGAAGGAGGGAUGCAAGGCAUUACAAUGAGAGACAGUGAUGAAGACGAUAAUGAUAACUAGAAACAUCUGGUUUCUACUACCAGACUGUCAAAAUGGCAAAAACUCGAGUCUUUUGUUGAGUUCAUGACACAUUUUUCCCUUUUUUUUGGGUCCAUGACCUCAAUAUGUCAAGAAGCUUCUAAGAAACAAGCAGCUGAAGGAAUAUCUCCCCAUUUGACCUUGUUUUUGCAACUGAUUAGAUAAAAAUUCAUGAACAAUUGACUUGUUUCUAUAAUGUAAGAUCCUGAUGUCCAAAGCAAAUAUCUCUGCUGUGGUCCGGUCCCUAUUACUGUCUGUAAGAAGCAUGACUGCUUAAAAACAUUUAGCGACUUUACUGCUAGAGUCAAAGCGACUUUAGCAGCAGAGUCGCUUCGAUUGGUCAUUGUAAAAGCUGACCAUUCCAAUUUUUUUUUUAAAAUGGGAAAUCCAAAAUCAGAAAUCAAACUGUUUAUUUAUUUCCAGAUAAGAUAAAAGAAUAGAAAAAUAAGA